GGGCAGCCAAAAGAACCUUUGGGUGAGAAAGUUCCACCCCGUUCCCCUCGCGGUCCCCCUGUCUGGGGCCUGACUGGAAUUUGGAACAUUCCGUUUUGCUGCAAUCAAGCCGGCUGCUCCGCACAGGAGGGAAGACAGAGAGGCUGUGGUAAAUGAAGCUGUAAGGAGUGUGGGGACUGGAUUUUGGAGAGAUGGAACAAGUGGAGUAGUCUUCAUGCUCCUAGCAAGUUACUGUACCGCCGGGCAAAGUCUGGACACCCUGCUCUAAAGUUACAGCUCAGAAGUUAUGAGCGUCUUAAAAACAGGUUUACAACCAGAAUGUUGACACAGAUAGAACCUUGAUACAGCUCUGCUAGCGAUCUUUAUGGAGGCAAAGUAAAACAAACAAUUUACGAGAACAGAAACUGACCAUCCAAAGGGUAUAGUAUGUUGGAUGUCAGGGGCUAUACUGGAAUUUUUGUGACCAAGAGGUUGUUCUAGUUGUUAUUGCAGAAGCUGUACCCUAGAAGAAACAUCUGCUGUGUCAAGCGCCAACUGAAUCACUGAUGUGGCUGCUAGAGGACCUUCUGCCAGGAAAGCCUUAAACUCUUCCUUUGCAUCUUCAGGGAGUUUUUCAGUGAAUUUAGAUGUGAUCCAGUUUACAAAGUCAUUCUUUUAUAAAUGAACCUGCUGAUUAGCUAUGCAUGUCUGGAGAGACAAGGCAGAAUAAAUCUUUCUCCACAGCAAAUCAAGCCUCUUGGCCUCCUUUUCUUUGGGUGUUAAUUUGAACUUGCCCUGUUGCAACCUCUCACUGGUGACAGUGACCACA